UGAGGAAUUUUGCGCAAUGGGAGCAAUCCUGACGCAGCAACGCCGCGUGGGUGAUGAAGGCCUUCGGGUCGUAAAGCCCUGUCAGGUGGGAAGAAUGUCCCGGGACUGAACAGGUUCCGGGAGUGACGGUACCACCAGAGGAAGCACCGGCUAACUCCGUGCCAGCAGCCGCGGUAAUACGGAGGGUGCAAGCGUUAUUCGGAAUUACUGGGCGUAAAGCGCGUGUAGGCGGUCCUGCAAGUCUGAUGUGAAAGCCCCGGGCUUAACCCGGGAAGUGCAUUGGAAACUGUGUGACUUGAGUACUGGAGAGGAUUGGGGAAUUCCCGGUGUAGAGGUGAAAUUCGUAGAGAUCGGGAGGAAUAUCAGUGGCGAAGGCGCACAUCUGGACGGUAACUGACGCUGAGACGCGAAAGCGUGGGGAGCAAACA
rnacentral:rRNA from 1 species